rnacentral:sRNA from 1 species
CACUUGUCCAGUGUUAGAAGAGAGUCAGGGUAAAGUCAAUAAACACUAAUUGAUCACAACCAGUUACAGAUGCCUUUGUUCCUUCUUCACUCCCACUGCUUCACUUGACUAGCCUAAA